rnacentral:rRNA from 1 species
CCUACGGGGGGCUGCAGUGGGGAAUUUUGGACAAUGGGCGAAAGCCUGAUCCAGCUAUGCCGCGUGAGUGAAGAAGGCAUUCGGGUUGUAAAGCUCUUUCGGUUGGGAAGCAGUUUAUCUGUUUAGGAGAUGGAUAGAUUGACGGUACCGACAGAAGAAGCAUCGGCUAACUACGUGCCAGCAGCCGCGGUAAUACGUAGGGUGCGUGCGGUAAUCGGAAGUACUGGGCGUAAAGGGUGCGCAGGCGGCUACAUAAGGCAGAUGUGAAAUCCCCGGGCUUAACCUGGGAACUGCGUUUGAAACUAGGUGGCGAGAGUACAGCAGAGGUGGGUGGAACUCCAUGUGUAGCAGUGAAAUGCGUAGAUAUAUGGAAGAACAUCGAUGGCGAAGGCAGCGCCCUGGGUUGAUACUGACGCUCAUGCACGAAAGCGUGGGGAGCAAACAGGAUUAGAUACCCGAGUAGUC